GGGUUGUGAGGUUAAGCGACUAAGCGUACACGGUGGAUGCCCUGGCAGUCAGAGGCGAUGAAGGGCGUGCUAAUCUGCGAUAAGCGCCGGUAAGGUGAUAUGAACCGUUAUAACCGGCGAUACCCGAAUGGGGAAACCCAGUGUGAUUCGUCACACUAUCAUUAACUGAAUCCAUAGGUUAAUGAGGCGAACCGGGGAACUGAAACAUCUAAGUACCCCGAGGAAAAGAAAUCAACCGAGAUUCCCCCAGUAGCGGCGAGCGAACGGGGAGGAGCCCAGAGCCUGAAUCAGCAUGUGUGUUAGUGGAAGCGUCUGGAAAGGCGCGCGAUACAGGGUGACAGCCCCGUACACAAAAGCGCAUGUGCUGUGAGCUCGAUGAGUAGGGCGGGACACGUGGUAUCCUGUCUGAAUAUGGGGGGACCAUCCUCCAAGGCUAAAUACUCCUGACUGACCGAUAGUGAACCAGUACCGUGAGGGAAAGGCGAAAAGAACCCCGGCGAGGGGAGUGAAAAAGAACCUGAAACCGUGUACGUACAAGCAGUGGGAGCACAGGUUUACCUGUGUGACUGCGUACCUUUUGUAUAAUGGGUCAGCGACUUAUAUUCUGUAGCAAGGUUAACCGCAUAGGGGAGCCGGAGGGAAACCGAGUCUUAAUUGGGCGUUAAGUUGCAGGGUAUAGACCCGAAACCCGGUGAUCUAGCCAUGGGCAGGUUGAAGGUUGGGUAACACUAACUGGAGGACCGAACCGACUAAUGUUGAAAAAUUAGCGGAUGACCUGUGGCUGGGGGUGAAAGGCCAAUCAAACCGGGAGAUAGCUGGUUCUCCCCGAAAGCUAUUUAGGUAGCGCCUCGUGAAUUCAUCUCCGGGGUAGAGCACUGUUUCGGCUAGGGGGCCAUCCCGGCUUACCAACCCGAUGCAAACUGCGAAUACCGGAGAAUGUUAUCACGGGAGACACACGGCGGGUGCUAACGUCCGUCGUGAAGAGGGAAACAACCCAGACCGCCAGCUAAGGUCCCAAAGUCAUGGUUAAGUGGGAAACGAUGUGGGAAGGCCCAGACAGCCAGGAUGUUGGCUUAGAAGCAGCCAUCAUUUAAAGAAAGCGUAAUAGCUCACUGGUCGAGUCGGCCUGCGCGGAAGAUGUAACGGGGCUAAACCAUGCACCGAAGCUGCGGCAGCGACGCUUAUGCGUUGUUGGGUAGGGGAGCGUUCUGUAAGCCUGUGAAGGUGGCCUGUGAGGGUUGCUGGAGGUAUCAGAAGUGCGAAUGCUGACAUAAGUAACGAUAAAGCGGGUGAAAAGCCCGCUCGCCGGAAGACCAAGGGUUCCUGUCCAACGUUAAUCGGGGCAGGGUGAGUCGACCCCUAAGGCGAGGCCGAAAGGCGUAGUCGAUGGGAAACGGGUUAAUAUUCCCGUACUUGGUGUUACUGCGAAGGGGGGACGGAGAAGGCUAUGUUGGCCGGGCGACGGUUGUCCCGGUUUAAGCGUGUAGGUGUGUGUUCCAGGUAAAUCCGGUUCACUUUAACACUGAGGCGUGACGACGAGGCACUACGGUGCUGAAGCAACAAAUGCCCUGCUUCCAGGAAAAGCCUCUAAGCAUCAGGUAACAUCAAAUCGUACCCCAAACCGACACAGGUGGUCAGGUAGAGAAUACCAAGGCGCUUGAGAGAACUCGGGUGAAGGAACUAGGCAAAAUGGUGCCGUAACUUCGGGAGAAGGCACGCUGACACGUAGGUGAAGUGAUUUACUCAUGGAGCUGAAGUCAGUCGAAGAUACCAGCUGGCUGCAACUGUUUAUUAAAAACACAGCACUGUGCAAACACGAAAGUGGACGUAUACGGUGUGACGCCUGCCCGGUGCCGGAAGGUUAAUUGAUGGGGUCAGCGCAAGCGAAGCUCCUGAUCGAAGCCCCGGUAAACGGCGGCCGUAACUAUAACGGUCCUAAGGUAGCGAAAUUCCUUGUCGGGUAAGUUCCGACCUGCACGAAUGGCGUAAUGAUGGCCAGGCUGUCUCCACCCGAGACUCAGUGAAAUUGAACUCGCUGUGAAGAUGCAGUGUACCCGCGGCAAGACGGAAAGACCCCGUGAACCUUUACUAUAGCUUGACACUGAACAUUGAGCCUUGAUGUGUAGGAUAGGUGGGAGGCUUUGAAGCGUGGACGCCAGUCUGCAUGGAGCCGACCUUGAAAUACCACCCUUUAAUGUUUGAUGUUCUAACGUGGACCCGUGAUCCGGGUUGCGGACAGUGUCUGGUGGGUAGUUUGACUGGGGCGGUCUCCUCCUAAAGAGUAACGGAGGAGCACGAAGGUUGGCUAAUCCUGGUCGGACAUCAGGAGGUUAGUGCAAUGGCAUAAGCCAGCUUGACUGCGAGCGUGACGGCGCGAGCAGGUGCGAAAGCAGGUCAUAGUGAUCCGGUGGUUCUGAAUGGAAGGGCCAUCGCUCAACGGAUAAAAGGUACUCCGGGGAUAACAGGCUGAUACCGCCCAAGAGUUCAUAUCGACGGCGGUGUUUGGCACCUCGAUGUCGGCUCAUCACAUCCUGGGGCUGAAGUAGGUCCCAAGGGUAUGGCUGUUCGCCAUUUAAAGUGGUACGCGAGCUGGGUUUAGAACGUCGUGAGACAGUUCGGUCCCUAUCUGCCGUGGGCGCUGGAGAACUGAGGGGGGCUGCUCCUAGUACGAGAGGACCGGAGUGGACGCAUCACUGGUGUUCGGGUUGUCAUGCCAAUGGCACUGCCCGGUAGCUAAAUGCGGAAGAGAUAAGUGCUGAAAGCAUCUAAGCACGAAACUUGCCCCGAGAUGAGUUCUCCCUGAGACUUAGAGUCUCCUGAAGGAACGUUGAAGACGACGACGUUGAUAGGCCGGGUGUGUAAGCGCAGCGAUGCGUUGAGCUAACCGGUACUAAUGAACCGUGAGGCUUAACCUUACAACGCCGAAG
rnacentral:rRNA from 1 species